ACAGCGAGUUUGAACGGGCACAUGCUUUUUAGUUUUCCCCCUUCUAAGCCAGAGGUGGAAAACAGUAGCUUUGAUUGUGAAGGCACGACGAAAAGCUAAAGAGAAAAAGAGCAAGGCCAAAGAAGGAUUUAGUGCAUCAGUCAAACGGCAAUUAUAGCCUAUAGGCAUGGACCAAGCUAAUGCAGAGGAGUGCAACGCUACACAUGAAAUAAUUACUCUUCAAUACAUUUAAAACCUCACAAAUUUUUCUUCCUCGUCUCAGUGCAGUAUAAUUCCUGUUAUGUAUUGCUGGAAACUGAAACGAUAACCUUGUAGUUGGAAUGCUUAGUUCAAAUCAUUGGGAUAUUUUCUCCCUUGCAGAAUGGUUACUGUUUGUGUUGUGGUUUGAA